GGUUAUGGCUCAGCGUUACAGCACAUGCCUAGCAUGUGCGAGGCCCUGGGUUCGAUCCUCAGCACCA
rnacentral:tRNA from 1 species